rnacentral:rRNA from 1 species
GACGAACGCUGGCGGCGUGCUUAACACAUGCAAGUCGAACGGAAAGGCCCUGCUUUUGUGGGGUGCUCGAGUGGCGAACGUGUGAGUAACACUUGAGUAACCUGCCCUUGACUUUGGGAUAACUUCAGGAAACUGGGGCUAAUACCGUAUAGGAGCUCCUGCUGCAUGGUGGGGGUUGGAAAGUUUCGGCGGGUGUGGUUGGACUGCCGGCUUAUCAGCUGGUUGGUGGGGUAGUGGCUUACCAAGGCUUUGACGGGUAGCCGGCCUGAGAGGGUGACCGGCCACAUUGGGACUGAGAUACGGCCCAGACUCCUACGGGAGGCAGCAGUGGGGAAUAUUGAACAAUGGGCGGAAGCCUGAUGCAGCAACGCCGCGUGCGGGAUGACGGCCUUCGGGUUGUAACCCGCUUUCGCCUGUGACGAAGCGUGAGUGACGGUAAUGGGUAAAGAAGCACCGGCUAACUACGUG